rnacentral:rRNA from 1 species
UGGCUCAGGACGAACGCUGGCGGCGUGCCUAAUACAUGCAAGUCGAACGAACUCUGGUAUUGAUUGGUGCUUGCAUCAUGAUUUACAUUUGAGUGAGUGGCGAACUGGUGAGUAACACGUGGGAAACCUGCCCAGAAGCGGGGGAUAACACCUGGAAACAGAUGCUAAUACCGCAUAACAACUUGGACCGCAUGGUCCGAGCUUGAAAGAUGGCUUCGGCUAUCACUUUUGGAUGGUCCCGCGGCGUAUUAGCUAGAUGGUGGGGUAACGGCUCACCAUGGCAAUGAUACGUAGCCGACCUGAGAGGGUAAUCGGCCACAUUGGGACUGAGACACGGCCCAAACUCCUACGGGAGGCAGCAGUAGGGAAUCUUCCACAAUGGACGAAAGUCUGAUGGAGCAACGCCGCGUGAGUGAAGAAGGGUUUCGGCUCGUAAAACUCUGUUGUUAAAGAAGAACAUAUCUGAGAGUAACUGUUCAGGUAUUGACGGUAUUUAACCAGAAAGCCACGGCUAACUACGUGCCAGCAGCCGCGGUAAUACGUAGGUGGCAAGCGUUGUCCGGAUUUAUUGGGCGUAAAGCGAGCGCAGGCGGUUUUUUAAGUCUGAUGUGAAAGCCUUCGGCUCAACCGAAGAAGUGCAUCGGAAACUGGGAAACUUGAGUGCAGAAGAGGACAGUGGAACUCCAUGUGUAGCGGUGAAAUGCGUAGAUAUAUGGAAGAACACCAGUGGCGAAGGCGGCUGUCUGGUCUGUAACUGACGCUGAGGCUCGAAAGUAUGGGUAGCAAACAGGAUUAGAUACCCUGGUAGUCCAUACCGUAAACGAUGAAUGCUAAGUGUUGGAGGGUUUCCGCCCUUCAGUGCUGCAGCUAACGCAUUAAGCAUUCCGCCUGGGGAGUACGGCCGCAAGGCUGAAACUCAAAGGAAUUGACGGGGGCCCGCACAAGCGGUGGAGCAUGUGGUUUAAUUCGAAGCUACGCGAAGAACCUUACCAGGUCUUGACAUACUAUGCAAAUCUAAGAGAUUAGACGUUCCCUUCGGGGACAUGGAUACAGGUGGUGCAUGGUUGUCGUCAGCUCGUGUCGUGAGAUGUUGGGUUAAGUCCCGCAACGAGCGCAACCCUUAUUAUCAGUUGCCAGCAUUAAGUUGGGCACUCUGGUGAGACUGCCGGUGACAAACCGGAGGAAGGUGGGGAUGACGUCAAAUCAUCAUGCCCCUUAUGACCUGGGCUACACACGUGCUACAAUGGAUGGUACAACGAGUUGCGAACUCGCGAGAGUAAGCUAAUCUCUUAAAGCCAUUCUCAGUUCGGAUUGUAGGCUGCAACUCGCCUACAUGAAGUCGGAAUCGCUAGUAAUCGCGGAUCAGCAUGCCGCGGUGAAUACGUUCCCGGGCCUUGUACACACCGCCCGUCACACCAUGAGAGUUUGUAACACCCAAAGUCGGUGGGGUAACCUUUUAGGAACCAGCCGCCUAAGGUGGGACAGAUGA